CUGCAGUAGUGUAUGCUCACCAUAGCCCCUCUAUGCAAAACUAUGGAAGUUAUUUAUAAAGGACAAUUCUGUCGACAUCCCAUGCUAAUUCAGUCAGCCAAUUUUAGAAGUUUGGCACCAUAACUACUACAGCGAACUGUAGUGGCUUUAGUGCCCUCCAAAAGUAAGGGUUCAAACCAAUUAAGAACAGUUUGAAAACUUAGCUGUGUCCAACACCCGUGGAGGCAGUGACAGGUUCUCAGUGGGAUCCAGAUAAGCUAUCAAACUGUUCUGAAAUCUUUUGACUUCUUACCCUGAAAAGGUGCCAGGAUGCCCUGACACCAUAACCACUUCAGUGGGAUGUAGUAGUUAUGGUGCCAAAGUUCUAAAAGUGGAGCAAUGUAUAACACUGGAAUGUUGACAGAAUUGUUCUUUAUACACAGCCU